rnacentral:rRNA from 1 species
AGUGAACGCUGGCGGUAGGCCUAACACAUGCAAGUCGAACGGCAGCACAGUAAGAGCUUGCUCUUACGGGUGGCGAGUGGCGGACGGGUGAGGAAUACAUCGGAAUCUACUUUUUCGUGGGGGAUAACGUAGGGAAACUUACGCUAAUACCGCAUACGACCUACGGGUGAAAGCAGGGGAUCUUCGGACCUUGCGCGAUUGAAUGAGCCGAUGUCGGAUUAGCUAGUUGGCGGGGUAAAGGCCCACCAAGGCGACGAUCCGUAGCUGGUCUGAGAGGAUGAUCGGCCACACUGGAACUGAGACACGGUCCAGACUCCUACGGGAGGCAGCAGUGGGGAAUAUUGGACAAUGGGCGCAAGCCUGAUCCAGCCAUACCGCGUGGGUGAAGAAGGCCUUCGGGUUGUAAAGCCCUUUUGUUGGGAAAGAAAAGCAGCAGGUUAAUACCCCGCUGUUCUGACGGUACCCAAAGAAUAAGCACCGGCUAACUCCGUG